rnacentral:lncRNA from 10 species
CUCACUGGCUCUCUUACGUAUGAGAUGAGGACCAUGAUGGUAGGAGAAGUUUAGUGAAAGUCCCAGAACUUCCCCUUCUUAUCCAGAAAUACUGAAUCUCUGAAAGAGCUUUGGAGAUUAAUGCCACCAUUAAAGGGUUGAAAUAAGCAGGCACUGUGACACUUCUUACAAACCCAUUUAACUGGCCACUUUGGCCUGUGCAGAACUCAUAUUGUUACCAGAAAAAGGGGUCUCGAUCCAGAUGUAAAGAGGGGAUUCUUGGAUCUCACGCAGGAAGGAAUUCAAGGCGCCUGCUUCCCUAACGAUAUGGAUUAUGAAGAAUGUGGACUAUUGCAAAUGUAAUCAGCUGGUGACUUCAAUUACAGCUGCUGUACCAGAUGAGAAAUCUCUGCUGGAGAAAAUCAACAUAUUCUCUGGCACUUUGCAUGCAGGAUUCGGUAGAUCCAGUGAUAUUUGAAGUGUCUGUGGCACAUUGAAAUGCAGUGUGGACCCUCUGACAAGCACCCAUAGGAGAAUUACAGCACAGAGCUCUGGGAUUUUGGAGGCAUGAUCGGUUGGCACAGGGUGCUGGUGUGGCUCAGUGUCUAGGACCUCAGCUGGGGAGACAGAACAGCUGUGGCUCUGCGGCUGCGGUAGAACCAUCCCGAGGUCACGUAGCACCAGGUAGGAGAGAACAUGAAGGCUGGGCUCACCUGGAGCUGACAUUUGCAGCACUGUUCAUGGUGUCUCUGAGAGGCUGGGUUCUGAGGAGUGUCCCAAGAGCCUGCAUUCCUAGAGGACUGAGAGAGCUGCAUGGCCUUUCCUGAGCUGCCUCGGGAGCCACUGCAGGCCUCGCGACCUAGGGGUUACAUCAGACAUUACAAGUCCAAGACCAAGGGGAACAAACACGGACCCUGUUUCUCAAUGGGAAGAUGUCAAAGAAUUUACAGCCAUUGGAAAAAAAAACACCACAGCUUACUCUCUAGUCACACAUUAUUUACAUAUUAGUCCAUUCUCAUGCUGCUAUGAAGAAACACCUGAGGCUGGGUAGUUUAUAAAGAAAAGAGGUUUAAUUGACUCGCAGUUCCUCAUGGCUGGGGAGACCUCAGGAAAUUUACAAUCAUGGCGAAAGAUGAAGGGGAAGAAAGGCAACUUCUUUACAGGGUGGCAGGAAGGAGAAGUGCUGAGCAAAGGAGGAAAAGCCCCUUCUAAAAACCAUCAGAUCUCAUGAGAACUCACUCACUAUCAUGAGAACAGUGUGGGGGUAGCUGCCCCCAUGAUUCAGUGACCUCCCACAGGGUCCCUCCCACCACACAUGUGGAUUAUGGGAACUACAAUUCAAGAUGAGAUUUGGGUGGGGACACAGCCAAACCAUAUCAGGGACUGAAUUGUGCCCCCUACCUCCAAAUUCAUAUAUUGAACCCAAUCCCCAAUGUGACUGUAUUUGAAGAUAGAGCCCUUAGCAAGGUAUUCCAAGGUGAGCAGGUCUAUGCAAACCUGCCCCCAAAGUCAAGGAGGCUCAGAAAGAGGCUGACAAAUCAGUUUCUGAGAAACAUUUAACAGUGACUUGUGAACAGAAGCUAUGUCUGUGUCUUGGGCAGCAUCGAGGGAAGUGGGUGGAUCUCCUCAUUGUUACCCUCCCAGACCCAGGGCUUAUAGACCAUAGGGGAAGAGUAUGCAUGCUUCAGAGGUGAUGUGUAGGAUAACCGCAUGGUAAGUAAGAUAAUGUCAAGAUUGUUUUGCCCUAAGGGCAGGAUUUAUGGUAAGUGCAUGCUCUUACACAAGGACCAGUAGUUAAAAUACAAAUCUUAGAGGCAUUUCAGGAACCGGGGUCAAUCAGAAGCCAACACGGAGGAUCAGCAUCCAAGAUGGAGCUGCUUUAGGCUCCACAGGAGGUCAUUAAGGUUCAACAAGAUCAUAAGGGUGGGUCGCCAAUCUGAUAGCACCUAAUCUGGUGCCCUUAUAAGAAGAGGAACACAUACUGGAGUGCUCUCAUUGCAUGCACACAGUGGAAAGGCCGUUUGAGGACACAGCAAGAAGGUGGCUGUCUACGAGCCGGAAAGAGAGCCCUCACCAGAAAUCUAAUUUGCUGGCACCUUGAUCAUGCACUUCCAGCCUCCAGAACUGUGAGAAAAUAAAUUUCUGUUGUUUAAGCCUCCUAGUCUGUGGUAUUUUGUUAAGGCCGCCUGAGCAGACUAUUGUAUGAAAACCAGCUAUCAUCAGCUAGAAAACCAGCAGCUAUACCUGGUUACUGGAAGAAUUGUUUUUUGAGGUUGUGGGACUGAGGUCCUUAGUUCUUGCUGGCUGUUGGCUGUCAGCCUCAGUGAGUUCCUAGAGGCAGCCCUCAGUCCUUGUCAUGGGGAAUGUCCCCAAAAUAGCCACUUGUUUUAUCAAAGCUAGUAAGAGAGUCUCCUUGCAAAAUGGAGGUCAAAAUCUUAUAUCACAGAAGUGACAUCCCAUUACAUCCCAUUACACUUGUGGUAUUCUAUGGUUCAAAGCAAAUCAAAGGUCCCGCCCGCUAAAGGUAGGGGGACACUGCAGGCGUCAAUAAGGGGCUGACUGCUGACAGCUCUGAAGCCCUGCCGCCCUUCCACCGCAUAUCUUGGUGGUCUGAUGAGGAAGUGUGCACAUGGCUUCCCGUGGGGCCAGUGGGAAGCUCAAACCACGCAAGUCCCACCUGCACACAUGAGCUCUUCUCUUUCCCUAUGCCCUAACCCCAAGAAAACCCAGGCUACCCACCUCCAUCCUUUCCCAAGCCACUCAAGCCAGUUCUAGACCAGCUUGCGUGCUGGGCUGCUGCACCCAGAAGCACUCAUGAUGGCUAACAGGUGUUUUCAUGCCCUCUUAGGGUGUGUCACAUCAUCCAUCUCAACAUUCGACCUAUCGAUUGGGAGGGGCAAUCCUGAAUCAGCAGAUUCAAUGCAGCAGGCACAGAUACCAGGAGGCAGGGAAAGUGGGGCCACUUCAGAGCUGGCCAAACUUUGCUUUAUGACAAACCGUAGUCUACUUUGCUUUCUUGGUAAAUGUUCCACGUGUACCUGAAAAUAACAGACACUCUGCUAGCGGUUGGUGAAGUGGAUAUACUGAUUUUAUAUAUUUGUGUAUAUAUGUAAGUCUCAUGAUAUAUGCCGACAUGACGUGUGUCAUGUUGGUUAAAUGAGCUGUUUGAAUCUCUGUCCUCCGCCUUUUUGUUCUGAGUUACGUGACA